ensembl:lncRNA
CUCAGUUGCCUGAGAGUAGAACUGUAUUUGAGAUAUGGAAACUCCUAUCAUAUAUAAAAAGCAUUGUUGUUACCUGGCUGAGCUCCAGUUCUGCUUCCUGGGUGAUUGGGACCAUCCUCCACAUCCUGUAUGGACUGGGGCUCUUCCUCCUGUUCCUUCCCUCCCUCCAGAGGAAUUUGCCCUUACAACCACCUUACAAAAGGAGAAACGUCAGGAAGCAUCAAGUGGAGCCAAGAGGGAGGAGCAGCAGGAGCAGGAAGAAGAGGGGAGCUUUGAAAGCUUACAGAGCUGGCCGGAAGGACCUGGCAGAAGUGCGGGGCCAGAUGUUGCUUUCGCAAAGUUAAGAAAUCUUGCCCUUCUCUCCUGGACUUCUUCCUCCCAGAGUCUCUGAUGCGCCCCAGGGCUGCAGGAAGUUUGGGGCUGAGCUGGGAGGGGAGCCAUGGGGACAGGGGUGGCAAAAGGCCUGGGGUGAGGGACAGCAGGAGAAUUUGGUGAAGUGGAGGUGGGGCCAGGGAGGGCCAUGGGUCUCAAGGGGCCACCCCCACCUGGCCUGUUCUGCUGUCCCAGGGCCCUCGGCUCCUGGCUGCAGCUUGUGCCUCCUGUCUCCCCCAGCUCCCCGGCGAGGCUUUCUUCUAAGGGAUGCUUCCAUCGCUUGUCAUCUCAAGACUCCCUUGGGGAGGCCUGCAAGACAGCAUCUGCCAGAGUCCGCCAACCAUGCCGGAAGCCUGUGGAAGGUACUCCUCUCACCCCGACUUCAGCACUUUUCCUUGCUCCUCUGACCCAGCCCACUCUACCUUUGGCCUCCACUCUGCCAGCAGAACCUCCAUCUGACUUGACCAGAAUCCCGCUAGGCCCUGUUGCCAUGAGCUCAACUCCAGCUCACUCCUGUUGGCCAUUUCUCAACUCAGGCCUCGGCCACAUGAGCUGUCGCAUUGAGUUCCUCUCCCGGUGGAACAUAAUCAAGGUCUUGUUCUUCCCUAUGUCAUCACACUUCGAGUCCCAGCAAGGGCACCUGUUCUGUCACCGACCAGUGCCCUCAUUCUGGGGAGGCCCCGCAAAUAGGGAGGGAGAGACUGAUAGCACCUCAGUUGCCAACCCUGAUGUCCAGAAGCUGCUCGAGACAGAAAUCACAGAAAGAAUACAAACGAAGGUCUGGGGAAAAGAAGAACAAGGUGAUCCAGGCACUCCUCAGAUGCUCGAAGCACACAGUAUCAUGUCUGGGCUGAAUUUCUGCUGGGGCCUACCCCUCCUGUCCUUGGAGCCUGCAGAUCUGAAAGCAUGUGAGGCUCAACACUCUGCCCUUCCACUGUCCCCUUUCCCCCCGGCAGCCACUUGUGGUUCUGGGGCCCACUCAAAAGCUGACUUUGCACAGUUCAUGGGAAAACCUCUUGAGCCUCCUCCAGGUGACAAAGUCUUAACUUUGACAACAGAAGCAUCAGUUCCCAGCCUGCCCCAUCCCCUCCCUGCUCCCUCACCUGUGUGUGAGGAAAAUCAGAAGGCCCUGGGAGGGACCCUACCUGGCGAUGGCAGUGAGCCCUCAGAAGCCUCUCUCUUGGGGCAGGAGGGCCGGCUGCCUUCUCCAACCUUCACAUUCAGGCUCUCAGAGAGAAAAGGGCAGAGUUGGACCAUCAAGGGGGCCGAGCAAGGCUGUCUAGAGCUGAGUUCAGGGUGCCCAGUGGCCAGGAAUGAGCCUCGGGAAGAGAGUAGGUGUGGGGCCUCACCAGAGCCCUGCCGUGGGGUGGCAACACUGGAGGGGGAGUCAGGGUCCCAGUCUUGGACCUAGGUCAGGGGAAUAGGAGACACCCUUGGGACCAAACCCCUCCAGCCCAUGCCUGAAAAGGAAGAGGUUUAUCACAACAGCCCUUUCAGAAAAAUCUUGAGACGCCUCCUGCCCUGCCUGAGGCCCAACAAGGAGGAAGCACCAGAGAAUCCCCUUGCAAAGGAAAGCCCGUGUCAGCCACCGCCCAGAGCCAGGCACGGGUCACACACAGCUCGGCAUUGGAUGGCAGGGCUGUUCAGGCGCCAUCGACAGUGACAUCCUUUGUCCGGGUCCUGGGAGAAAACUGAGGCUUGCAGAGAACUUCUGGCCUCCCAGUUGAAGCAUCGUAAAAACCAUUUCAGGCCUGGGAAGCUGGACAUGCCUGUUACCAUGAUGUCCCCUUCUCCCCAGACCAGAGAAGAUCAAUGACAGGAGACAGUCCCCAACCUACCUCCAGGGACCACAACUGUCUGAAUACAAGGGAAUGGAUCAAAACAGGCAUGGCAACUGGACCUUGCCAUCCAGGCAGCUGCAGUCCCCAGCCAAACCCUGCCAGCCUGGGCUGAGGGUGGCAGCUGUCUCAGCCAAUCCAUCACCUGCCAUGCUGUCUUCAGAUAUGUGUCUCCUGGGAUGAGUAGACUGUGCCUGACACACCUUUCUUCAUAGGAACGCUUAUCUCCCCAAAUGGGGAAGUGGAGGAACAGAAAACCUGUUUUUUCUCCUUAUCCCACCCUCUGUGCUAAUGGUGUCUUCCUACCCCAAUUUUCCCCAAAUACAAUUUUUUUCUCCUUAGAGUUCAUAGGUUCUGUCUGUGCCCUGCUAGUGGUAAAAACGGGGUGAGGCUCCACCCUUCCUAAGUGUCAGCUUUGGCUUCCAGAAGGGGCAGGGCCAUGGGGGGAGGCUGACUGCAGCAUGGCUCACCUUCCCUCAUCCCGACUCCCUCAUUGCACCUGAAGUCCCCGUAAGCUGUCCUUACAAAAACAAAUGGAAGCUUUAGGAUAUUUCCAGAUGAGCAAAACCUCUAAGACCGCAGCCCAGGAUGGGCCCCGCCUGUCCUCUCCUGCGUUCUCUGGCCCUUGAACUUGUGGGACUGUAUGCAGGGGGUUUGCAGAGGCUCCAGGAAGUGCAGAGAUAGGUUCACAGGUCACAGAGUGGGGAGGGGAGUGUGGGGCGGAUCUGGCCCUGAGUCCAGAGUGGGAAGAAUCUUGCCCCGCACCCCAAGCUCUUGUUGGGAAUAGAUGACCCUGCCCCAGGAGCAUCUUCUCUCCCUGCUGAAGCUGACCUGGAGAUGGGCCUGUGCAUCCCUUUCAGCCAAGCAUCACCCUCCC